CAGCAGCCGCGGGAAUACAGAGGGUGCAAGCGUUAAUCGGAAUUACUGGGCGUAAAGCGCGCGUAGGUGGUUUGUUAAGUUGGAUGUGAAAUCCCAGGGCUCAACCUGGGAACUGCAUCCAAAACUGGCAAGCUAGAGUAUGGUAGAGGGUGGUGGAAUUUCCUGUGUAGAGGUGAAAUGCGUAGAUAUAGGAAGGAACACCAGUGGCGAAGGCGACCACCUGGACUGAUACUGUCACUGAGGUGCGAAAGCGUGGGGAGCAAACAGGAUUAGAUACCCCGUAGUCCCUGUCUCUUAUACA
rnacentral:rRNA from 1 species